CAUUUCUUUCUCCGUGGCCCAAAAUUAAUAAAGUUUGACUAUCUUUAUUUCAGAAGCAUUUUGGCUGUAGACCAGUGCUUUCUAAGGUAUGUC